CCUACGGGAGGCUGCAGUGGGGAAUAUUGGGCAAUGGGCGCAAGCCUGACCCAGCAACGCCGCGUGAAGGAAGAAGGCUUUCGGGUUGUAAACUUCUUUUCUCAGGGACGAAGCAAGUGACGGUACCUGAGGAAUAAGCCACGGCUAACUACGUGCCAGCAGCCGCGGCAAUACGUAGGUGGCAAGCGUUAUCCGGAUUUACUGGGUGUAAAGGGCGUGUAGGCGGGACUGUAAGUCAGAUGUGAAAACCACGGGCUCAACCUGUGGCCUGCCUUUGAUACUGUAGUUCUUGAGUACUGGAGCGGCAGACGGAAUGCCUAGUGUAGCGGUGAAAUGCGUAGAUAUUAGGAGGAACACCAGUGGCGAAGGCGGUCUGCUGGACAGCAACUGACGCUGAGGCGCGAAAGCGUGGGGAGCAAACAGGAUUAGAUACCCCAGUAGUC
rnacentral:rRNA from 1 species